GAUUAAUUCCAUGCUGUUAUCUGGAAACUGAUUCAGAGAUUAAUUUCGGUACAGUGACUGCAAACAGUAAAGUAAUUAGUAAAGAGAUCAAUAUUGCUAACCAUGGAUCAUCAUCAGGUACGUUUGAGAUAUCAUAUGAUGGGGUUGUGUUACUUAAUAUAACAACUUCCAGUGGAGUGGUGGAUCCUGAAAGGUGGUUGAAGUGGCUAUCUGUACAGAUGUCCCAAGAGUCAUCAAAGAAGUGAUAAAAGUGGAGUUGGAAGGACGUGGCUGCACUGAAGUAUGGAUCAAAGCUGUUGUGGUUGAACAAAUUCUGAAAGUUCUAUGAGUGUCUUCUGGAAAUAUAUUGGAAUGCAUUAAUUUUGGAUCAGUUUACUUUGGGUCUUCAAAGACUGAACAAAUAUGUUUAUACAAUAAAAGUCCAGAGUGUAUGGACUGGGUAGCAAUACUGGAAGACAAUAGCAUUGGAGGAGAGAUGGGAACAGAUCUUCAGAGGAGUGCAGAUGCUGUUUUACAAGAUUUAAGCCUCAUAAAUAAAACAGAAGAUGUAAAUGUUUCCACUUUGAUCCUGUGCUUUCCCAAUCAAGGAACCUUGCUACCUUAUGAGAAGUCUUUUCUUACGUUGUGCUUUAGUCCAAAUUGAGUUAAUGGUCCAAAUUACAAACAAGAAAAAAAAAAGAGAAAAAAAAAAAAAAAAGAAAAAAAAAGUUUGUCUGUUAUGUAAAGAGAUGUGUUAGAGAAAUCAUUUUUUAAGUUAAUAUGCAGGUUGGUUUUUUUUAAUUACUUGAUACUUAUGUGUGUUAAAAGAAAUUCCUUAGUGUGAUACUAAAAAUGAUAAAGCCAAAUCGGAAGUGAUUAUCUGGGAGAUGUCUUAUAAUUCAUUAAGAAUGCCCUUGAAUCGGGAAUUGGUUAAGCUUGUUUUGACUGAAGAAUUUUAUUAGAUUUUUUGCAAAGGGAACUAAUUACUUCUGCAAUUAAGUAUGUUGAAUCUCUAAAGAUUGUUGAGGAAGUUGUGCAGUGUCGAAUUAAAUGCCUUUCUCGGGACUGUAGACUUAUUUCAUGAAGAUGUCGCAUAUGUGCAGUGAUAGGAUAUUUCAUUACCAGGAGAACGAAACAUUUGCAAGCUUUCCUUACAACUACAAAACAGUAGAUGUAAAGAAACAUUUUUCCUUCAAGCAAGGGGGAGAAAAAGAAUAAAUUGAAAAAGCAAAUUUUCUUACUGAAACUCUUCUUUAAAGAUUACAUGCACGUGAAUCACUUAUAGAAAACUCUUGUAGAUGUAUGCGAAUGGAAAAGAUACCAAAGGACUAGUAUCAUAGUCAUACAUGUAGCGUUCAGUUAAAUUUGUUACUUCCCCAUUUUCUGAAAGGAAGUAUAAAUUCAUUUAAAGCUGUAAUAGCAACAGCUGAAUCAGAUGAUGAAAAAUGGUUUUUGUUUUUGUUUUUUUGCCUUUUUUCUUUCAUCUAGUAAUUAGACAUUGUGACUCUUACAGGAAAUUUUAAAAGGCCUUUGGAGUGACUUGGCACCAAAACAAGAUUAUGUACUGUUUCUGAGAUUUGAGGCUGUUGGGGAAUAAAGAUGGCUAUCUGAAGGCCUGUGGUGAUGGUACCACACUGAUCACAAGCAUGUUACAGAAACAUAUAGUCACUAUCAGAAAUGUAUAUCUGGAUGAUAAGAUUGUAUAUCUUGAUUUUUGUUUCUCAGUCUUCCACUUAUUAGUUUUAUGGGGAACUUGUGUCUAUCUUAUUCAUUAAAUAUAAUGGUAAAUAUUUGGAAUGUAGAUUUUUUUUUAAUUAAAAUAGAAUAGUUUCAUUUCGGUAGCUGUGAUUUUUAAUAUGAGCCAAAUGUGUAGUUUUUUCCUGCUUUUGUAGAGUCAUUUAAUGCCCUUACCUGUACUUCAGGAAGCAACAGGUAUUAUUUUUAAUAUGGAAAAGAUAAUUGUAGUAAUAAGGAAACUUGACGCAGGUUUUGCCUGGUUUUACUUUUUUUGGGGGGAUUUUACCAACUUGAGCAGAGUAAUUUAAACUCAAACCUUUGUUAGGAUUAUUUUCAUUUCCUUCACUUAAUCACAAAUACCUGAGUAACAUAUUUCUUUAAUGGAGGAAGCUAUGUUAAUUUUAAGUUGAAUAUGGAGGCAUUUAUAAUUUAACAGAACCUCUAACUCGGGACACAAGAGAACAGUGUGUCUCAGAAGUGAGUUAGCAAGAAUUUGCUGAUGUUCUAAUUUGUAGCAUAAUACGUAUAUUGCUAGGCUAAGUGUAGCCAUUGGCAUAGUUUUAAAGCACAGGGUUAAAUACUUCAGGAGUAACUGGGGAGGGAAGUAACUCAAAUAGGUAAUUAUACAACUUACUUGCUUUUCUUUCCUUCAUAAUGUCUCAAAACUUUUCUUUUACAGGAUAAGAUAUUUUUAAUUUUCUCCUCAUCAAAUAGGAACAUUUAAAGUGAAGCAAGUUGUUGAUAUC